rnacentral:rRNA from 1 species
AACGAGCGCAACCCUUGACUUUAGUUGCCAGCAGGUUGUGCUGGGCACUCUAGAGUGACUGCCGGUGACAAACCGGAGGAAGGUGGGGAUGACGUCAAAUCAUCAUGCCCCUUAUGACCUGGGCUACACGCGUACUACAAUGGCCGGUACAACGGGCUGCGAAAUCGCGAGAUGGAGCCAAUCCCAACAAAGCCGGUCUCAGUUCGGAUUGCAGGCUGCAACUCGCCUGCAUGAAGUCGGAAUUGCUAGUAAUCGCGGACCAGCAUGCCGCGGUGAAUACGUUCCCGGGCCUUGUACACACCGAAUCACUAGUGAAUUCG